UGCUAUUUAUCGUGUUCCGGUUGUCCUGCCAGGGUCUGAAGAGCCAGGUGCAGGUGAAGCUGAGCAUCGUGAGUUGUCCUCCUGUCACCACUGUCCUCAUCAAGAGACCUGACCUCAAGUUCCAGCUGGGCUUCAGUGUUCAGAACGGCAUCAUCUGCAGUCUGAUGCGUGGAGGUAUCGCGGAGCGAGGAGGGGUGCGAGUCGGCCACAGGAUCAUUGAGAUCAAUGGGCAGAGUGUGGUUGCCAUGCCGCAUGAGAAGAUAGUCCAGACCCUGUCUGUAUCAGUGGGAGAGAUCAACAUGAAGACCAUGCCUGCAGUGAUGUUCAGACUGUUAACAGGACAGGAGACUCCUGUCUACAUCUAGUCCCUCCAUGUCUACAUCUAGUCCCUCCAUGGGUGCACCCUCAAUGGCACCCUUUUCCCUGUGUAGUGCACUACUUCUAACCAUGGCCCAUAUGGCUGUAGGUUCACUAUGUCAGGAAUAGGGUGGCAUUUGGUAUGCAUAUUUUUCUGCGUACUCUCUCACUGCUUCUGCAUGUCUAGGAGAAGAUGGUGGACAGACCGGGUGGGUGACAGGCAGAGGAGGCUGGUAUUCCAGCCAUUCCAAUGAGCCUGUCCUCCGAUUUAUAGUGACGCCAGCCUCCACUGGUGACAAGGUGGUACAUUAGCAACAUUUAUUUUUUAUAUAUCAUUUUAUUUUGGGGGUAAUAUGUUACUCUGCUGAAAAUGUCAACAACAACAAAAAAAAUUCAACUUCAGGCUUAGUUGGAGUAGCCUGGAUAACACAUUGUUUGGCGAUGACGCAUUGUACAAGGAGUGAAAUGUUAGCUAAACAGACUGGUACCAGGCUAUAAUUGAAAAGCUACACGGUCAUAAUGGUUUGAUGUGUACAGUGUGUGUGCGCGYGUGUGUGAAUACGUAUGUAUACUGUUAAAGAAAACUGUAAAUGCAAGGUAAUGAUUAUGUUCUUAUGACUAGAUUACAAACACGCCACAUUUUAUUUCCAUUUUGAUAACAUGCAAGAUUAAACAAUGUAGUGACAUAAACGUGUUGAUACGGUAACUGAACUUAUUGUAGGGAAGGGGUUGGCCUGUCGUUAUUCUUCAAUAGGAGUUCAAGUGACAAAGCAGGGGUAUUUAAGCCUGUUCCCGUGUAUACCUAAACAGCAUAGGACAAGGCUAUUCUUCAAUAGCAGGGGUAUUUAAGCCUGUUCCCGUGUAUACCUAAACAGCAUAGGACAAGGCUAUUCUUCAAUAGCAGGGGUAUUUAAGCUACGUCCCGUGUAUACCUAAACAGCAUAAGACAAGGCUAUUCUUCAAUAGCAGGGG